UCAUUCUACGGUAUCUCAAGUGACUUGGAGGUUUGUGGAGGCCAUUGAGAAGAAGGGAAUUCAGCAUAUCAGAUGGCCUUCCACAGAGAAUGAGCUAAUGGAGAUAAAGUCCAAAUUUGAACAGAUUCGAGGUCUUCCAAAUUGUUGUGGAGCAAUUGACACCACUCAUAUCGUACUGCUGUUAUCAACAUCUGAGCCGAGAACUGAUGUAUGGCUGGAUUCAAAGGAGAAUCACAGUAUGCCUCUGCAGGCAAUAGUUGGUCCCAACAUGAAGUUCCUAGAUGUAUUCAGUGGAUUGCCUGGAAUGUUUAGUGAAAGUUCACUGAUACGGUUUUCAUCCUUCUAUAAAAAAUGUCAGAAUGGACAGAGGUUUGGGAAGAAAGUAAGACUAUCCAAAGAAGCUGAAUUGCAGGAAUAUGUAAUUGGUGAUUCAGCAUAUCCAUUGCUGCCUUGGCUUCUAACUCCUUAUCAGGGAAAAGAACUUUCACAAACAAAAGAUGAUUUUAAUAAACAUCUCUUUGCAACUCAUAUUGUGGCACAGAGAGCAUUAGCAAGGUUGAAGGACGUCUGGAAGAUCGUAAAUGGAGUUAUGUGGAGACCUGACAAGAACAAGCUUCCAAGUUUUAUACUUGUAUGUUGCAUUCUCCAUAAUAUUAUCAUUGACAUGGAAGAUGAGUUACUUGAUGAAUUGCCACUAUCCCACCACCACGAUCCAGGAUAUGGACAGGUGGUCUGCAAUUCAGCUGAUGAGACUGCCUCAGUUCUGAGGGAUAAGCUUGCUCUAUACCUGUCUGAGAAAGGGCACCCUUGAAUAUGUCAUACCUUUGAUGAUUUAAAAGAGGAGUCUAUAGGUGGAAGGCCAUUUACUGUGAAGUUGGAAAUGCAAACCUGAAAUUGGUGUCCUUAUGCUAUAUAACAAGAGUUUGCUUGGUGCUAUUCAUCUCUUUUCGACUGCUUGUUUUGGGGUAUUUCAGUAAUUUUGUAUAGGUGGUUUAGUAAUUUUUAGCUUUGAGUGCUAGUGGUAAGAACAAGGAGUGUUGGAAUUAUUCCUUUGUGCUUAAUUUUGUUUCAAUGUGUCUGUUGCACAUCAGAUGAUUAUAAUGAUGGGCAGAUAUGCUUGGAUGGAAUUACUUGGAUGUGUCUCAGUGAGCCUUUUAAACAAUUUCGGUUAUUAAAGUCUCCAGCUUUUUGUAAUUUAGAAUUACUUAUUGAAUGUCUAUUAGGUUUGUCUUGCCACCAUUAUUUCAUGGGUCUGAAUGCGUGAUCUUUCUUUUUCCUCCCUUAUAGUUGCUAUGGUUACUUCACCUUAUGGUUCCUCCUUUAGAUCCUGGCCUUUUGCUACAUUAGCUAUAUCAAUCCUUCACCUUUACUCUUUAGGCUGGUAUGGCUUUUUUCCAGGUAUGACAUUUUUUUUUGGUCGAUUCGUGGGUAAGAGUGGUUUGAUUUUUUUCUAAGACCUUUAAUGCGAAUUAGGCCUCUAAUUACUUGAAUAGCCAUUACAAUCAUAAUAGUUAUUUGUUUGAAAGUCUUGCUCUUCUUACCUUCUGCAUAGUAUAGCUUUGUUUUUCUUUCUCACUGUCCUGUUAGUUUUCCUGGUUAUCUCGUAGGAUGCUAUUUCGUGUUCUAAGUAGUUAUGUUUAAUUUCUUUUUCUCUCUGUUGUUCGCUUCUUUUAUGUUUUUUAAAAAUUUCACAAUUCCCCAAUCAAAAAUUUUGAAUUAGAAACUUUCCAUUGUGAAUUCCAUUUUCUUGUCUGGUUAAUUCUUUCUUUUUGUUCUUUGUUUUUUUUUUUUUUUGAAUUUUUGUGUUCCCCAAUUUUUUCAUUUUUUUUUUUGGUGCAAGCAAGUUUAGGUUCAGUUUAUAACUUCUUUAGCUGAGAAUAUACCAAUUAAGGUAUGCAUAUCAUUAGUGUUGAUGGCUUUCUUAAACUCAUUGGAUUGCAAUUACCUGAUAGUUGUUUAGGUAUGCUAAUUAGUGUUGCAUAUCAGUACUUUAGAUUGAGUACAUUUUUUGAAUUCCUAGUUAAUUAUGUCUGUUGGUUAAUUAAUGCUUUAUAUUAAUUUUCUCUGAAGCUAUUGCAAUUGUCUUUGAGUAUUGCAUUUUGUCUGAAAUAGCAAACUUUAAAGGUAAAAGUUCAAAACUUUAAAUAUUUGUCUCCCUCCCCCUUUGCAUUUCUGAAGUACAAGUGCAUAAAAGUUUGAUCUUUUAAAGAAAACUUCCACUGUUCUGGCUUUACUUAGUUUGUUAGGCAUUGGAGGCCCUGAACAUCUCUCUUGAACGGUUCCCUCCAGAGGUGUAUAUUUUUUUCGUUCCUCAGUUGUGCUUUUCGACGAGUUUUUGUAGAACACUUUUGGAAUUUUGAUUUUCUUGAUCUGAUAUUUGACUGGUCGUACAAGUCCAAUCAUACAUUUCAGGUAAUUUAAAUUCAUUCCCAUCAAAGGGCCUGGAUAGCUUUGAAUCUAUUUUUGACGUCUAAAAGAACUUUUGAAUAUGUACGUGCGAAGGAGCAGAUGACGGUGCAAGACACAUCAUGCCUUUAGCAAUGGCAAACCAAUGUCACUAUAUGAUCAAGUUGCUUUAGCCUUGAGAAGGCUUAGGUCUGGUAGUUCACUUAUUACAACUGGUGAUUCAUCUGGGACACAUCAUUCUAUGGUGCCUCAAGUGACUUGGACGUUUGUGGAGGCCAUUGAAGGGAUGGGGAUUCAGCAUAUCAAAUGGCCUUCGACAGAAAAUGAGCUGAUGGAGAUGAAGUCAAUGUUUUAACAGAUUCAAGGCCUUCCAAAUUGUUGUUGAGCAAUUGACACCACCAAUAUUGUAAUGCUGUUAUCCACAUCGGAGCCAAGAACUGAUGUGUUGCUUGAUUCGAAGGAGAAUCACAGGAUGCCUUUGCAGGCAAUAGUUGGUCCCAACAUGAAGUUCCUGGAUGUAUUCAGUAGAUUGCCUGGAAAGUUUAGUUAAAGUUCACUGCUACAGUAUUCAACCUUCUAUAACAAAUGUACAAAUGGAGAGAGGUCAGGGAAGAAAGCAAGACCAUCCCAAGAAGCUGAAUUAC
rnacentral:lncRNA from 1 species